rnacentral:rRNA from 1 species
AGUGAACGCUGGCGGUAGGCCUAACACAUGCAAGUCGAACGGCAGCACAGUAAUAGCUUGCUCUUACGGGUGGCGAGUGGCGGACGGGUGAGGAAUACAUCGGAAUCUACUUUUUCGUGGGGGAUAACGUAGGGAAACUUACGCUAAUACCGCAUACGACCUACGGGUGAAAGCAGGGGAUCUUCGGACCUUGCGCGAUUGAAUGAGCCGAUGUCGGAUUAGCUAGUUGGCGGGGUAAAGGCCCACCAAGGCGACGAUCCGUAGCUGGUCUGAGAGGAUGAUCAGCCAAACUGGAACUGAGACACGGUCCAGACUCCUAGGGGAGGCAGAAGUGGGGAAUAUUGGACAAUGGGAGCAAGCCUGAUCCAGCCAUACCGCGUGGGUGAAGAAGGCCUUCGGGUUGUAAAGCCGUUUUGUUGGGAAAGAAAAGCAGCAGGUUAAUACCCCGCUGUUCUGACGGUACCCAAAGAAUAAGCACCGGCUAACUUCGUG